rnacentral:rRNA from 1 species
AACGAACGCUGGCGGCAGGCUUAACACAUGCAAGUCGAGCGGGCCUUUCGGGGUCAGCGGCGGACGGGUGAGUAACGCGUGGGAACGUGCCCUCUGGUUCGGAAUAACUCAGGGAAACUUGAGCUAAUACCGGAUACGCCCUUUUGGGGAAAGGCUUGCUGCCGGAGGAUCGGCCCGCGUCUGAUUAGCUAGUUGGUGAGGUAACGGCUCACCAAGGCGACGAUCAGUAGCUGGUCUGAGAGGAUGAUCAGCCACACUGGGACUGAGACACGGCCCAGACUCCUACGGGAGGCAGCAGUGGGGAAUAUUGGACAAUGGGCGCAAGCCUGAUCCAGCCAUGCCGCGUGAGUGAUGAAGGCCUUAGGGUUGUAAAGCUCUUUUAUCCGGGACGAUAAUGACGGUACCGGAGGAAUAAGCCCCGGCUAACUUCGUG